rnacentral:rRNA from 1 species
GAAUGGAUUGAGAGCUUGCUCUCAAGAAGUUAGCGGCGGACGGGUGAGUAACACGUGGGUAACCUGCCCAUAAGACUGGGAUAACUCCGGGAAACCGGGGCUAAUACCGGAUAACAUUUUGAACUGCAUGGUUCGAAAUUGAAAGGCGGCUUCGGCUGUCACUUAUGGAUGGACCCGCGUCGCAUUAGCUAGUUGGUGAGGUAACGGCUCACCAAGGCAACGAUGCGUAGCCGACCUGAGAGGGUGAUCGGCCACACUGGGACUGAGACACGGCCCAGACUCCUACGGGAGGCAGCAGUAGGGAAUCUUCCGCAAUGGACGAAAGUCUGACGGAGCAACGCCGCGUGAGUGAUGAAGGCUUUCGGGUCGUAAAACUCUGUUGUUAGGGAAGAACAAGUGCUAGUUGAAUAAGCUGGCACCUUGACGGUACCUAACCAGAAAGCCACGGCUAACUACGUGCCAGCAGCCGCGGUAAUACGUAGGUGGCAAGCGUUAUCCGGAAUUAUUGGGCGUAAAGCGCGCGCAGGUGGUUUCUUAAACGGUCUGAUGUGAAAAGCCCACGGGCUCAACCGUGGAGGGUCAAUUGGAAAACUGGGCAGACUUGAAGGUGCAGAAGAGGGAACAGGUGGAACUUCCAUGUGUAGCGGUGAAAUGCGUAGACAGAUAUGGCAGGGAACCACCAGUGGCGAAGGCGACUUUCUGGUCUGUACUGACACUUGGGGCGCGAANGCNUUGGGGAGCACGGNUU